GAUAAAUGUAAUAAUAUAAUUGAAGCUCGAACUCUUUAGUGUUAUUAAAGACUGAAGAGCCAGAAACCAUACAAAACCGACUAUCACUGAUCUGACCUUGUAAGAUAACCUUCCAAAAAUAAUAGCACCAGAGACUACUUAUAAUUCAAAUUGAAGUACGAACGAUAAGUAGAAAUUGAUAUCGGAGCACAAACUGCUAGAUAGGUGGACAAUUUCAAUGCAGAAAUUGAAAUAACACAAUAUAUAGUUCUAUACGAGUUAAAAAGAUCUUGGAAGAUUUUUCCCCGUUAUCAAAUAAGAACCAAAGAAUUCAAAGGGCAAAGAAUCUAGAUUACACGAAGCUACCAGAAAGUUCAUUCUAACGGCAUUUGCAAUAAUAGGCUACAGAUAUGCUAAUCCAUGUUUUUAUGAAUACAAAGAAGAAAGCGAAACAGUUUGCAACAUACUUUACCAAAUCGGACGACAUCAUUUGGAAAUUCAAAACAUCUUAAUACGAGAGCAAACUUUAAAAAUCGAUAAAAUUAAACUUAUAAAUGCUUAUAAUAAUCAUUUCAUAGAUAUCAAUAGGAAUCAAUUUUAUCUAACGAUAAUAUAAUAUUACAUUAUAUUAAUCUGUUUGAAUAUAAUUUCCUAGUUAUUUCCAUUGCUUGUGGACAACAAUUCGAAGUUGGUUCAGCAGCAAGCGCUAAAGAUAGAAUGUGUGCAUUAUUUCUGCCUCACAUACUUUCAUUUUUGCAAUAUAGGAGUUGUUUGAAGGUAUGUUAAGAGCCCGAAGCAAAGAUCAUAAAUAUGCACAGCCACUUCCUUCGAAUGCCAGGUGACGUUAGGUAUGUCAGAUCUUAAAAAGGAAAGAGCAAAACACGACCGGUAAUGGUAGAAUUUAUUUGCAUAAACUACUUAGCCCAUUUAUUUACUUCAUUUGAUCGCCAUAUUUGACAUACUAUAUCAUGCUAUAUUAAAAAGGUAGAAAAUGCAGAAGAAAAUGCUGAAUUUAAGCGAUAGUCAAUCAACUAAAUACCUAGAAAUCGGCAAUCCGUUUUUUUAACGAAUCUGUUUUUCAUUAAAG
rnacentral:misc_RNA from 1 species